AGAGUUUGAUCCUGGCUCAGAAUGAACGCUGGCGGCAUGCCUAACACAUGCAAGUCGAACGAGAUCUUCGGAUCUAGUGGCGCACGGGUGAGUAACGCGUGGGAACCUACCUUUUAGUACGGGACAACGUUUGGAAACGAACGCUAAUACCGUAUACGCCCUCCGGGGGAAAGGCUUGCCGCUAAAAGAGGGGCCCGCGUCUGAUUAGCUUGUUGGUAAGGUAAUGGCUUACCAAGGCUUCGAUCAGUAGCUGGUCUGAGAGGAUGAUCAGCCACACUGGGACUGGGACACGGCCCAGACUCCUACGGGAGGCAGCAGUGGGGAAUAUUGGACAAUGGAGGCAACUCUGAUCCAGCAAUGCCGCGUGUGUGAUGAAGGCCUUAGGGUUGUAAAGCACUUUCAACGGUGAAGAUGAUGACGGUAGCCGUAGAAGAAGCCCCGGCUAACUUCGUGCCAGCAGCCGCGGUAAUACGAAGGGGGCGAGCGUUAUUCGGAAUUAUUGGGCGUAAAGGGCUCGCAGGCUGCUUGAACAGUUAGACGUGAAAUCCCCGGGCUCAACCUGGGAACUGCGUUUAAUACUAGCAAGCUAGAGUAAUAGAGAGGAAAGUGGAACUCCCAGUGUAGAGGUGAAAUUCGUAGAUAUUGGGAAGAACACCAGUGGCGAAAGCGGCUUUCUGGCUAUUUACUGACGCUGAGGAGCGAAAGCGUGGGGAGCAAACAGGAUUAGAUACCCUGGUAGUCCACGCCGUAAACGAUGUGUACUAGCCGUUGGGGGGAUUUACCCCUUAGUGGCGAAGCUAACGCGUUAAGUUAUCCGCCUGGGGAGUACGGCCGCAAGGUUAAAACUCAAAGGAAUUGACGGGGACCCGCACAAGCGGUGGAGCAUGUGGUUUAAUUCGAUGCAACGCGAAGAACCUUACCUGGUCUUGACAUCCUGAGAACUUUCUAGAAAUAGAUUGGUGCCUUCGGGAACUCAGUGACAGGUGCUGCAUGGCUGUCGUCAGCUCGUGUCGUGAGAUGUUGGGUUAAGUCCCGCAGCGAGCGCAACCCCUAUCCUUAUUUGCCAGCACAUCAUGGUGGGAACUAUAAGGAGACUGCCGGUGAUAAACCGGAGGAAGGCGGGGACGACGUCAAGUCAUCAUGGCCCUUACGACCAGGGCUACACACGUGCUACAAUGGGAAGGACAAAGAGCCGCGAAGCCGCGAGGUGUAGCUAAUCUCAGAAACCUUUUCGUAGUCCGGAUUGGAGUCUGCAACUCGACUCCAUGAAGUCGGAAUCGCUAGUAAUCGUAGAUCAGAAUGCUACGGUGAAUACGUUCCCGGGUCUUGUACACACCGCCCGUCAUACCAUGGGAGUGGGUUGCACCAGAAGUGGCUAGUCUAACUUUAUUGAGGACGGUCACCACGGUGUGAUUCAUGACUGGGGUAAAGUCGUAACAAGGUAACC
rnacentral:rRNA from 1 species